GCCCACAUCAUGACGCCCGAGGAGAACGCGGAGCUUAGAGGCAAAGUUAAGAGACUCAUCAGAUUCUGAGCUGCUGCAGGAUAUUUUGCAGAAGCACGAGGCUGUCCACACGGAGCCUUUGGAUGAGCUGUACGAGGCGCUGGCGGAGACCCUGAUGGCCAAGGAGUCCCCCCAGGGCCACCGGAGCUAUUUGUUGCCCUCGGGAGGCUCGGUCACACUCUCCGAAAGCAUGGCCAUCAUCUCCCACAGCACCACGGGUCUGGUCACAUGGGAUGCCGCCCUCUACAUUGCAGAAUGGGCCAUCGAGAACCCGGCAGCCUUCACUCACAGAUGUGCUGUAUUGCCCAGAAGCCAUUGUGUCACUGGUCAGGGUCCUGCGGAGGCUGGCUGCCUGCCGGGAGCACCAGCGGGCUUCUGAGGUCUACGUGGCCUUCGCUGUCCGCAAUUGAGAGACGUGCCAGCUGUUCACCACCGAGCUAGGUUUUUGCUUGUCUGAUGACUGAUGGCUCCACCCAGACCUGCCAACCACUCCCGCGGCCCCAUCCAGAAGUGGCUCAGCGUGCAUGAGGACCAUCUCCAACAUCCCUGUGAUUGUACCCCCAACCAACCAGCAGCAAGAACCUAUUGCCUAGUCACCUCCCCUCUCUUUCCCCAACUAUCAUUGAAAAAGUCUGGCUUCCAAAUUUUCCGGGAGACUGAUUUGGGUAAUAAUAAAACUCCAGUCUUCUGUUCAGCCAGCUCUGCAUGAAUUAAGCUCUUUCUCUAUUGCAAUUUUCCUGUCUUGAUAAAUUGUCUCUACCUGGGCAGGGGGCAAAAUGAACCCAUAGGGUGGUUACAGUACCUUGCUGGGUCACUUGAUAUUCCUGGAGGGUCACGGGAAGCGCUAUGUGAAUCCCACUUCUGAUAUUGUAAGAUUCUCUCCAGGGCCUGAAAGCUUAAGGGGUUGAGCAACUCCUCCCUUCUCAGGCCCAGCCCCAGGGCGCAAGGCCGCUUGCAUCAGCAGCGUGCGUGAGCAGAUGCGCCAGCAAGAUAGCAAAAGCAGGAAGAGAGCCAGCCGGAAGACAAGUACCUCUGAAGAUGGAGAAAGAGGCCAUCUGGGUACAACGUUGCAGUUACGUCAGACCAGGACACUUCCUGUUUACAGGAGACUAUAAAACCUUUGCCCCAUCCUCACUUGGGGCUGACGCCGUUUUAGGCCUCAGCCCGCCAGCACCCAGGCUCUCAUUAAAACAGCAUGUUGCUCCACA
ensembl:lncRNA FAM86B3P family with sequence similarity 86, member A pseudogene